rnacentral:rRNA from 1 species
AUUGAACGCUGGCGGCAGGCCUAACACAUGCAAGUCGAGCGGCAGCGGGAAAGUAGCUUGCUACUUUUGCCGGCGAGCGGCGGACGGGUGAGUAAUGCCUGGGAAAUUGCCCAGUCGAGGGGGAUAACAGUUGGAAACGACUGCUAAUACCGCAUACGCCCUACGGGGGAAAGCAGGGGACCUUCGGGCCUUGCGCGAUUGGAUAUGCCCAGGUGGGAUUAGCUAGUUGGUGAGGUAAUGGCUCACCAAGGCGACGAUCCCUAGCUGGUCUGAGAGGAUGAUCAGCCACACUGGAACUGAGACACGGUCCAGACUCCUACGGGAGGCAGCAGUGGGGAAUAUUGCACAAUGGGGGAAACCCUGAUGUAGCCAUGCCGCGUGUGUGAAGAAGGCCUUCGGGUUGUAAAGCACUUUCAGCGAGGAGGAAAGGUCAGUAGCUAAUAUCUGCUGGCUGUGACGUUACUCGCAGAAGAAGCACCGGCUAACUCCGUG